rnacentral:rRNA from 1 species
GAGGGGGAAAGAAUUUAUCGCUAUUAGAUGAGCCUACGUUAGAUUAGCUAGUUGGUGAGGUAAUGGCUUACCAAGGCUAUGAUCUAUAGCUGGUCUGAGAGGACGAUCAGCCACACUGGAACUGAGAUACGGUCCAGACUCCUACGGGAGGCAGCAGUGGGGAAUAUUGGACAAUGGGCGAAAGCCUGAUCCAGCUAUGCCGCGUGAGUGAAGAAGG